rnacentral:rRNA from 1 species
UACGUAGGGGGGCAAGCGUUGUCCGGAUUUAUUGGGCGUAAAGAGCGUGUAGGCGGCUAGGUAGGUCCGUUGUGAAAACUCGAGGCUCAACCUCGAGACGUCGAUGGAAACCAUCUAGCUAGAGUCCGGAAGAGGAGAGUGGAAUUCCUGGUGUAGCGGUGAAAUGCGCAGAUAUCAGGAAGAACACCCGUGGCGAAGGCGGCUCUCUGGUACGUGACUGACGCUGAGGAGCGAAAGCGUGGGGAGCGAACAGG